GUAGGGUGGGCAAGCGUUGUCCGGAAUUAUUGGGCGUAAAAGCGCGCGCAGGCGGUCCUUUAAGUCUGAUGUGAAAGCCCACGGCUCAACCGUGGAGGGUCAUUGGAAACUGGGGGACUUGAGUACAGAAGAGGAAAGCGGAAUUCCAAGUGUAGCGGUGAAAUGCGUAGAGAUUUGGAGGAACACCAGUGGCGAAGGCGGCUUUCUGGUCUGUAACUGACGCUGAGGCGCGAAAGCGUGGGGAGCAAACAGGAUUAGAUACCCUGGUAGUCCACGCCGUAAACGAUGAGUGCUAAGUGUUAGGGGGUUUCCGCCCCUUAGUGCUGCAGCUAACGCAUUAAGCACUCCGCCUGGGGAGUACGGCCGCAAGGCUA
rnacentral:rRNA from 1 species